CGGACGGGUGAGUAAUGUCUGGGAAACUGCCUGAUGGAGGGGGAUAACUACUGGAAACGGUAGCUAAUACCGCAUAACGUCGCAAGACCAAAGAGGGGGACCUUCAGGCCUCUUGCCAUCGGAUGUGCCCAGAUGGGAUUAGCUAGUAGGUGGGGUAACGGCUCACCUAGGCGACGAUCCCUAGCUGGUCUGAGAGGAUGACCAGCCACACUGGAACUGAGACACGGUCCAG
rnacentral:rRNA from 1 species